rnacentral:rRNA from 1 species
UACGGAGGGUCCAAGCGUUGUCCGGAAUCACUGGGUGUAAAGGGUGCGUAGGCGGACUCGUAAGUCAGGGGUGAAAGCCCGCGGCUCAACCGCGGAACUGCCUCUGAUACUGCGAGCCUUGAGUCCUGGAGGGGCUGGCGGAAUUCGUGGUGUAGCGGUGAAAUGCGUAGAUAUCAGGAGGAAUACCGGUGGCGAAGGCGGCCUUCUGGACGAUGACUGACGCUGAGACGCGAAAGCGUGGGGAGCAAACAGG